CAGGCGUGAGCCACUGCGCCCUGCCAGGCAAUUCAGAGAUUUUUGCAAUAUUGCUGCGUGGCCAUACAGGUUUAAAGAACUUUGUCUUCUUAGAGCAUUCAUUCAUCAUGACAAAGGAUCAAGGACCCCCUUAAUUAUCUUUGGUAUGGCUCAACAUUGGUUUAUCCUGCAUGCCAACAUUGGAAUGAUCAAGUUAACUAGCAGUUUCCUAAGCAUGAAUUAUCUUGAUGUGCGAAUGUCUAUACUCACACUUGCUUUGUAAAUUAUGAGACAAUCAUGGCUCAAGAAAAGUUAGAUAGCUUGUCAAGUUCCACACAGCUAAGAG